rnacentral:rRNA from 1 species
AGUGAACGCUGGCGGUAGGCCUAACACAUGCAAGUCGAACGGCAGCACAGUAAGAGCUUGCUCUUACGGGUGGCGAGUGGCGGACGGGUGAGGAAUACAUCGGAAUCUACUUUUUCGUGGGGGAUAACGUAGGGAAACUUACGCUAAUACCUCAUACGACCUACGGGUGAAAGCAGGGGAUCUUCGGACCUUGCGCGAUUGAAUGAGCCGAUGUCGGAUUAGCCAGUUGGCGGGGUAAAGGCCCACCAAGGCGACGAUCCGUAGCUGGUCUGAGAGGAUGAUCAGCCACACUGGAACUGAGACACGGUCCAGACUCCUACGGGAGGCAGCAGUGGGGAAUAUUGGACAAUGGGCGCAAGCCUGAUCCAGCCAUACCGCGUGGGUGAAGAAGGCCUUCGGGUUGUAAAGCCCUUUUGUUGGGAAAGAAAAGCAGCAGGUUAAUACCCCGCUGUUCUGACGGUACCCAAAGAAUAAGCACCGGCUAACUUCGUG